GAAGGAAUGGGGUUAACAGAAAGUUAAUAAACUCUCUUCUUCCUCUUGGUCAUAAUAGGAUUCAAAUACCAAUCAUUGUAAUGUGUUAAAGGAAGCUAAACUGGAUAAUUGUUUCAUUUUUCCUUGAUUUUCUUUCUAACUAUUUCAUAACUUCUUUACUAAGUGAGGAGAAUACCAGCCCCACUCAAUUUCCAGCACUUUAAUCACUGUCUCAGAUUAUAAAAUAGAAC